rnacentral:lncRNA from 1 species
ACUUAUUAACAUUGCACAUGGCCCAAGUACAUACUGCCUUUUUGGUUAAGUGACUUAUCUUUUCAGUCCAGCCUCUGUGAACCUUAAUUCAAUUUCAUAAAAGAGAGAGGAUCUGAUUAGUCCCUAGUCCCUAGGCUUAGGCAUCCAAUCAGUUGUGUGUUUUGUGGCUUUCCCAGCAGAGGGAGCCUUCCCGCAUUUCUUACUUCAGUAAGGGGAGUAUGAGCUUGGUAAGCAGCCCCUACCUUCUAAACCCAAGUUUAUUCAUAAAUGUAAUUUGUAAACUAUAAACAGCUUUAUAAAUGUAAGAUUCAUUAUAUUAGCCAAGGAAAGUAGUCUGGAGAAAGAUUAUCAACUGCCCUAUUUUAUCAAACUAAGAUGACAUAUGUAACUUACCCUGUAUGUGUAACAAAACAGUCACCUGUCUUUUUUUAUAUGUCUUUAAUAAGUUUCCAUGUUUUAGCUAGCUAAAUUUAUCAAUUUUACUUUUGUGAUUUCUUCCAUUGCUUUUAGUCUAUAAAUUCCUCAUACGUUUAAAUGUUAAAAUAUGUAGUCAGCUAUUUUUUAUUAAUUUUACAGUAAUAACUGCUUUUGUUUUUUGAUGUUACCUACAAGUGUAUACCUCCUUAAACACUAUCAUUUAGUUUAUUAGUUA